UACGAGGGGGGGCGAGCGUUGUUCGGAAUUAUUGGGCGUAAAGGGUGCGUAGGCGGUUUGGUAAGUCUGAUGUGAAAUCUAUGGGCUCAACUCAUAGUCUGCAUCGGAAACUGCCGGGCUUGAGUGUGGGAGAGGUGAGUGGAAUUCCUGGUGUAGCGGUGAAAAUGCGUAGAUAUCAGGAGGAACACCUGUGGCGAAAGCGGCUCACUGGACCAUAACUGACGCUGAUGCACGAAAGCUAGGGGAGCAAACAGG
rnacentral:rRNA from 1 species